rnacentral:rRNA from 1 species
AUUGAACGCUGGCGGCAGGCCUAACACAUGCAAGUCGAGCGGCAGCGGGAAAGUAGCUUGCUACUUUUGCCGGCGAGCGGCGGACGGGUGAGUAAUGCCUGGGGAUCUGCCCAGUCGAGGGGGAUAACUACUGGAAACGGUAGCUAAUACCGCAUACGCCCUACGGGGGAAAGCAGGGGACCUUCGGGCCUUGCGCGAUUGGAUGAACCCAGGUGGGAUUAGCUAGUUGGUAAGGUAAUGGCUCACCAAGGCGACGAUCCCUAGCUGGUCUGAGGGGAUGAUCAGCCACACUGGAACUGAGACACGGUCCAGACUCCUACGGGAGGCAGCAGUGGGGAAUAUCGCACAAUGGGGGAAACCCUGAUGCAGCCAUGCCGCGUGUGUGAAGAAGGCCUUCGGGUUGUAAAGCGCUUUCAGCGAGGAGGAAAGGUUGGUAGCUAAUAACUGCCAGCUGUGACGUUACUCGCAGAAGAAGCACCGGCUAACUCCGUGCCAGCCGCCGCCGUAACAC